AGGCAGCUGCUGUGGGGGCAGCUCUGUCUGGUGAUUGGCAGUGGCUGGCCUCUGGACUUCUGUUGGAAUUGACGGCAGUGCUGCUGAUGAGGCCUCCAAAUUACGCCCAUUAUGCCUCAAGAGAGUUCCAGGAGUGGCGAGGCAGCUGCUGGAGGGGCAGCUCUGUCGGUUUAAUAGCAGGUUUUAUUGGCAUUAAACUUCUGCUAUUUGUCGCAAUCAGUAGACGCCGUUUAAUCCGUCGCUUUCGGAGUCGCCACUGGAUUCUCCAUUUAGAAACCUACCUAGGUCCUCAUAAGGCUCUUCAUCGGUCCAUUGGCUGUCGUCGUCCAUGUCCAUAUCCGGCUC